UACGUAGGGGGCGAGCGUUAUCCGGAUUUACUGGGCGUAAAGCGCGUUAAGGCGGUUGGCAAAGUUGGUUGUGAAAUCUCAGGGCUCAACCCUGAAAUUGCGACCAAUACUGGUCGACUAGAGUGUGAGAGAGGAAGGUGGAAUUCCCGGUGUAGUAGUGAAAUGCGUAGAUAUCGGGAGGAACACCGGUGGCGAAGGCGGUUCUCUGGGCAUUACCUGACGCUGAGGAGCGAAAGCAUGGGGAGCGAACAGG
rnacentral:rRNA from 1 species